UACGUAGGGGGCAAGCGUUGUCCGGAUUUAUUGGGCGUAAAGAGCGUGUAGGCGGCCAUACAGGUCAGCUGUGAAAACUCGAGGCUCAACCUCGAGACGUCGGUUGAAACCGUUUGGCUAGAGUCCGGAAGAGGAGAGUGGAAUUCCCGGUGUAGCGGUGAAAUGCGCAGAUAUCGGGAAGAACACCCGUGGCGAAGGCGGCUCUCUGGGACGGUACUGACGCUGAGACGCGAAGGCGUGGGGAGCGAACAGG
rnacentral:rRNA from 1 species